AUGGCAGAGCAUACAAGAUAAGUUAUUUCAUGUACCUUUUAUUCUUUGAUUGCUGUGUUACAAAAUAGUGUGUCCCUGAUACCGUAUUUCCCGGUGUCAGGCCGUUGAAUCACGCAUCCUGCAAGUCGGAGGCUGAUACGUCUCGGGAGUUUCGUUCUUCACUAGCCCCGUUGGGAUGGCUGUUCUCGUUUCGAUCCAUGAGGUUUAGUUCACCGCAGACCGAAAGUGGAGGUGCCUACUGCGUUCCAGACCCGGAAUCUGGAUACCGUCGACUGAAUCCUGUACCGAAGCUCCAGUUUGCCACGGUUCCGGUGUUUCGAACUGUUUUCUGUUCCAGGUUUUUCCUGCCGAUUCGCCUCAAGAAAGAGGAGGGUUCUAAGGAGGCAGCCCCUUAUAUACCGGCUGUCCUGCCUCUUGAUUGGCAGACCCAGCCUGAGGGCUGCUGGGUAUUGUAGUUUUUUCUUUUUCUUUCAAGUUAAAACGUUUUUCUACUUGAAAUCACUGUAAAUGUUGUAUUUCUGCUAUGGGCAUUAUUAAAGAAAGAUAAUGCAUAAGA